ACCCGGCUGUGUUUUCUUUUUCUAAUAAUUAAUUUGUUUUUAUUUUAUGCGCAUUGGUGUUUCAUCUGCAUGUAUAUCUGUGUGAGGGUGUCAGGUUCCCUGGAACUGGAGUUGCAGUGGUGAGCUACCAUGUGGGUGCUGGGAAUUGAACCUGGGACCUCUGGAAGAGCAAGCAAGCAGUGCUCUUAACCAUUGAGCCAUCUCUCCAGCCUCCAAACUUAUUUUCUUAUGGACAAAGGGACUUCGGCAGGCUUCACCGGUCAGGAGAGUUCUGAGGAUUCGCUGUAAUGAUGCAGGUAAAGUGUCUACUUUGCAUCCGGCAUGGAGUAUUGCUUAAUUGUUUAUCUGCAUGCUGUGCACUGCUGGGGCUUGAACCCACACAUGCUGGGUAAGCGCUCUGCCUGUUAGGCAAAGGCUGUGCACAGACUUACUCCUCCAGCUCCAACCACUGUUUUAUUGAAAAGCUGCAGGCUAGGGAUGCAACUAUGAACUAAUAUAAGUACUGUUCUUGGUACCUGUAAUGCCUGCACUUAGACGACUGAAGCAGGGGAUCUCAAGUUCAAGGACAGCAUGAGUUACUUAAUAGGACUAGAAACAUUUUAAAGUAUCUAUCUAACUAUCUAUCAUCUAUCUAUCUAUCAUCUAUCUAUCUAUCUAUCUAUCUAUCUAUCUAUCUAUCUAUCUAUCUACACAGGGAUCCUCUGUGUAACCCUGGCUAUGCUGGACUUCCCUCUGUAGACCAGGCUGGCUUUGAACUCACAGAGAUAUGCCUGCUCCUGCCUCUAGAGUACAGGGAUUAUUAAAGGCAGGCACCGACACUGUCCAGCUAUAAAAAUAUGGGUUUUGUUUGUUUGUUUGCUUGAAAGAUUUGUUUAUUUUAUGUGAGUAUAUUGUCACUGUCUUCAGAUAAACCAGAAGAGGGCAUCAGAUGGUGAGCCACCAUGUGGAUGCUGGGAAUUGAACUCAGAAUCUGUGGAAGAGCAAUAAGUGCUAUUAACCACCUGAGCCAUCUCACCAGCCCCAAAAAUAUGUUUUUAAAAAAGAAAAAUUAGAGAAUGUGCUUAGCAUCUAAGAAGACUGGGUUCCAUUUUCAGCUUGAAAGAAAAAAAAGAAAGAAAGAUUUAAAAGUAUCUAUAUAGGGG
rnacentral:lncRNA from 1 species